UCCCACGAUUCAGAGUUAUGAAUUCUCAUC
rnacentral:piRNA from 1 species